rnacentral:sRNA from 1 species
AAAACAAUGUUUUAUAGAAUGCAAUGGAAAAGUUAUUACGACCUAUUGCCCUGCUAACAACGAGCCAAUAGCAAGAGUCCGACAGGCUAGUGUGGCAGACUAUGAAGAAACUAUAAAGAAAGCAAGAGAAGCAUGGAAAAUCUGGGCAGAUGUAAGUAUGGCCUUUGUUUCUAGAAUUCAGAAGAGAUCACUUUGCCUAUUGUAACCAAUGAGAUACAUAAACAUCUGAUAAGCAGGUCAGCGCCGCCUUGUUAAAAUGUGAGCUCCUUGGGGGCUGUGAUACUGUACUAGGGCUCCUGCUGUUUUGGAAACACCUCUGCCAUAUUUCUAGGGUAGUGCCUUUUUUGUACUUGCCAUUCAUUGAAUGGAUAAAUUUAAAUGAAUUAAAACUUUGUGCUGGUAUAGUAUAAACUUGAGCUGUGAACACUAUUCUUCACUGAAAUUACUUGAAUUUAUAAUUAAAUAGAAAAUGAAUAGAAGAUCUAUGCCAGAAAUAUUCGUUUGCUCCUCCUCUAUCCCCCUGCCAGAUUUGUCUGGGAGUAUCUCAGCAAUAGGUCAGCAUUCCUGGUUUAAAGAACAACAGCAGAUCGGACCUGGUGGCUCAUGCUUGUGAUCCCACCACUUCAGGAGGCUGAGGCGGGUGGAUCAUCUGAGGUCAGGAGUUUGAGACCAGCCUGGCCAACAUGGUGAAACCCUGUCUCUAGUAAAAAUACAAAAAUUAGCUGAAUGUGGUGGCGCGUGUAAUCCAGCCUACUCAGGAGGCUGAGGCAGGAGAAUUGCUUGAUCUUGGGAGGCGGAGGCUGCAGUGAGCCAAGAUAGCACCACUGCACUCCAUCCAGCCUGGGCGACAGAGUGAGACUCCAUCUCAAAAAAAAAAAAA